rnacentral:rRNA from 1 species
GAUGAACGCUGGCGGCGUGCCUAAUACAUGCAAGUAGAACGCUGAAGGAAGGAGCUUGCUCUUUCCGGAUGAGUUGCGAACGGGUGGGUAACGCGUAGGUAACCUGCCUGGUAGCGGGGGAUAACUAUUGGAAACGAUAGCUAAUACCGCAUAACAGUAGAUGUUGCAUGAUAUCUACUUAAAAGGUGCAAUUGCACCACUACCAGAUGGACCUGCGUUGUAUUAGCUAGUUGGUGAGGUAACGGCUCACCAAGGCGACGAUACAUAGCCGACCUGAGAGGGUGAUCGGCCACACUGGGACUGAGACACGGCCCAGACUCCUACGGGAGGCAGCAGUAGGGAAUCUUCGGCAAUGGACGGAAGUCUGACCGAGCAACGCCGCGUGAGUGAAGAAGGUUUUCGGAUCGUAAAGCUCUGUUGUAAGAGAAGAACGAGUGUGAGAGUGGAAAGUUCACACUGUGACGGUAUCUUACCAGAAAGGGACGGCUAACUACGUG